ensembl:lncRNA
GGGCCGGGCGGGCGGCAGCGGCGGCGCGCUGUCAGGCCGGUGCCGGUGUGAUGAAGAUUGGCGGCAGGGAACCUUCUGAUGGCUGAGCAGUCCCUGCCGCGCCGCCCGCCUGCACCUCCCGUCCCAACCCCCGGAGACCUGCAGGAAUUCGGCGUCCGACCCCCAGCCGCGGCCGAUGCGCAGGUGUAGACCCAAACUGUACCAAUAACCACUGUGAGAGCCUGUGCUGGGGAGCUGUCAUCGUUGAGGAGCAGAAGGGAGCAGGACGAGAUACAGCUGUGGAUUUCCCUUUGUGGAUAUACUGGCAACGAGCGCAUCUUCAUAUUGCAGACAUAUCUCGGCUGUGACCCAUACUCAGAAGUUUUGCUUUUGUGGCUGUGAACGUUUCGUGCAGCGGCUCCUCGAGCACCCGCAGACGAAAUCAGGCAGUGCGGGGGAUCUUGCUUUAAAGCUCAAGUGUUGAGAGCAUGUUGUUAAGAGCCACAAGCCACGACUGGCCCAGAGGAAAACACGGAUUUUGUCAUAAAAAUACCCUAAAUAUGGGCUGUUAUCACUGCGAAAUAUUGGCAGCUUAGUAGGGUAUGGAGAAAUGGUCACCGGUUAAAAAUAACUUAAAUGCAGAGCUUAAAAUAAGAUGUACAUGAAACCAAGGGUCUCGCAGUUCUUCAGUCAACCCCACUCGCUAAAAUUAGGGCCUGACGGAGUGACAAAUGUGUUUGCUCUGUGCCAGCACUGGAGGCACCCAGAGGGUGGCAAAAUAAAUCCCCGUUGGCUGCAACUUUUCUCCUAAAGAAGAGAAGAAAAAUCUUUGGCUGUCGAACAAAAUAUUAACUUGAAAUCUGAGGAGAUGCCUUCAGUUUGGGCAGCUGUCCUGGAGAGGAGCCUUAUCUCCUCCUAAAUCAGUGGAGAUGAGGGCUGGAGCAUCUCGGAGUAAAACCCAAAGGCUCUUCAGUUCUUUCUGCUCUUCCAGCCCGAAGUGAAGCUUCACUUGGACGGCUUCAUGGCAAAGCACAGUGCAAAACCUUUUGCAUCUUUUCUUUGAGUUUUGUCUGCUCUGAAAGCCCUUUUAAUAAACGGCAGUCAAUAAUGACAGGAUUAUUUUCUCCAGGCUGCCCUUUCAGCCUCAAUUCUCACCAGUGACCUUCC